UCAGCAAAGCAAGAUUGGACGGUCCAGAUCUCUAAAGUACGUCAGCACACAGAAACCCUAGCCGCACUCCCGACCCAGCCGACCACACCGUCUCCUCGCGUUCUCUCUCACGAGAGGAGAAAUCAGCGAAGAAAGCACCGCCGCUUCACCCGCGUCGCCUCCUCCGCCGCCAUCCCUUUUCCUCCCUCUAACUCCCUAAUUCCGCCGAGCUUCUUCGCCGCAACCACCAUUCGUCGUCCAAGUUUCAUCGUCUGUUGGAUCCAGCGCCUCACAGGUUCUGAUCGAUUCCGCUGGCCAUCGGUGCUUCCUCCACAUCCAGACCAUGACCCAUCAACUCUUGGACUGAUCCCAUAUCGGUUUGCCAUUCAUAAUAGUAGUUGACAUUAACAGCUCAAUGCAUUAUGGCAAACAAGAGCAAUUGUUUCUUUCGGAUGAAAAUGUGUUGUGGUACCUUUAUACAGACCUGCACAACAAGGGGAUAGCUUUAGCAGCAUCCAGUACUAGCUCAUGUGCAAAAUUGCUAUGGAUAAACGUUAUGAUGUGAUGUUUUUAUCGAGCUAAAGCACUACAUUUCUUUGCAACGCAAGUUCUAUUGAAGAGAUCCGUUUGUACAUAUGUCAGACCACCUUCUAAUUGCGCUUUAUAACCACUUAGUUUCCCUAAUAUAAUCCACUGUACGCAUGCGCCACUUUUCUGUGGUUGCUAUUUUUGCUCAAGUGUACAUGAUCAUACAGAUAGCACUCCAAACAAACCGAUCAAAACAACUCAUAUUUGAACUUUGGUGGUAUGGUUCGAAUGU
rnacentral:lncRNA from 1 species